rnacentral:rRNA from 1 species
ACGAACGCUGGCGGCGUGCUUAACACAUGCAAGUCGAACGGAAAGGCCCUUCGGGGUACUCGAGUGGCGAACGGGUGAGUAACACGUGGGUGAUCUGCCCUGCACUUUGGGAUAAGCCUGGGAAACUGGGUCUAAUACCGAAUAUGACCGCGCUCUUCAUGGGGUGUGGUGGAAAGCUUUUGCGGUGUGGGAUGGGCCCGCGGCCUAUCAGCUUGUUGGUGGGGUAAUGGCCUACCAAGGCGACGACGGGUAGCCGGCCUGAGAGGGUGACCGGCCACACUGGGACUGAGAUACGGCCCAGACUCCUACGGGAGGCAGCAGUGGGGAAUAUUGCACAAUGGGCGCAAGCCUGAUGCAGCGACGCCGCGUGAGGGAUGACGGCCUUCGGGUUGUAAACCUCUUUCAAUAGGGACGAAGCGCAAGUGACGGUACCUAUAGAAGAAGGACCGGCCAACUACG